rnacentral:rRNA from 1 species
UUUCCGGUUGAUCCUGCCGGAGGUCAUUGCUAUCGGAGUCCGAUUUAGCCAUGCUAGUCGUGCGAGUUCAUACUCGCGGCACCGAGCUCAGUAACACGUGGCCAAACUACCCUACAGAGACGGAUACCCUCGGGAAACUGAGGCUAACCCGUCAUACCGAUCUCAGGCUUGAAUCGCAGAGAUCACCAAACGCUCCGGCGCUGUAGGAUGUGGCUGCGGUUGAUUAGGUAGACGGUGGGGUAACGGCCCACCGUGCCCAUAAUCAGUACAGGUUGUGAGAGCAAGAACCUGGAGACGGAAUCUGAGACAAGAUUCCGGGCCCUACGGGGCGCAGCAGGCGCGAAACCUUUACACUGCACGCACGUGCGAUAAGGGGACUCCGAGUGCGAGGGCAUAUCGUCCUCGCUUUCGUGUACCGUAGGGUGGUACACCAACAAGGGCUGGGCAAGACCGGUGCCAGCCGCCGCGGUAAUACCGGCAGCCCGAGUGAUGGCCGAUCUUAUUGGGCCUAAAGCGUCCGUAGCUGGCCGCGCAAGUCCGUCGGGAAAUCCACCUGCCCAACAGGUGGGCGUCCGGCGGAAACUGUGUGGCUUGGAACCGGAAGGCUCAGAGGGUACGUCCGGGUAGGAGUGAAAUCCCAUAAUCCCGCACGGACCACCGAUGGCGAAAGCACUUCGAGAAAACGGAUCCGACAGUGAGGGACGAAAGCCAGGGUCUCCAACCGGAUUAGAUACCCGGGUAGUCCUGGCCGUAAACAAUGUUCGCUAGGUAUGACACAGACUACGAGUGGGUGCUGUGCCGUAGGGAAGCCGCUAAGCAGACCGCCUGGGAAGUACGUCUGCAAGGAUGAAACUUAAAGGAAUUGGCGGGGGAGCACUACAACCGGAGGAGCCUGCGGUUUAAUUGGAGUCAACGCCGGA